UCAUGAUAGAAAAUGCGCAAUCAUUAUGCACGGAGUGGGAAGACAACCAGAACCGACUCCUGCUGCUUUUUCAAGUUGGAGGAGAUGACUCUCAAAAGGUUUCUUGAUGAAAUUUCCAACAUAAAAGACAAGAUCUUAUUGCUGGAAGAAGUGGAUUUUGUGAGGGAGGGCCUCAUACUCUGCAUAUGAAAACAAAGAACCUGAGGAUUUUGUUGUGUCCUCUUGGUGGCAGAAAGCAUGAUCCCGUUAAUCUGGAAGAUUUGAGGAUACUGAGAUGGCAGAAAUAUGGGCUACAAACAUAAACAAAUGGAAGAAAAUACCCCCUCUCCACCCAUCAAGAAGAAAGAGUAACUCCAAACAUUUUG
rnacentral:lncRNA from 10 species